rnacentral:rRNA from 1 species
AGCAGCCGCGGUAAUUCCAGCUCCAAUAGCGUAUAUUAAAGUUGUUGCAGUUAAAAGCUCGUAGUUGAAUUUCGGGAUCAAUACGUCGGUCGUGCUUCGGUACGUACUGGCGUCAUUGAUUUCUCCCUUCUGACGAACCAUGAUGUCAUUAACUUGGUGUCAUGGGAAAUCAGGACUGUUACUUUGAAAAAAUUAGAGUGUUUAAAGCAGGCUCACGCUUGAAUACAUUAGCAUGGAAUAAUGAAAUAGGACGUUCGAUCCUAUUUUGUUGGUUUUUAGGAUCAACGUAAUGAUUAAUAGGGAUAGUUGGGGGCAUUAGUAUUCAAUUGUCAGAGGUGAAAUUCUUGGAUUUAUUGAAGACUAACUACUGCGAAAGCAUUUGCCAAGGAUGUUUUCAUUAAUCAAGAACGAAAGUUAGGGGAUCGAAGACGAUCAGAUACCGUCGUAGUCUUAACCAUAAACUAUGCCGACUAGGGAUCGGAUGAUGUUAAUUUUUUAAUGACUCAUUCGGCGCCUUACG